AAACAAUGACUGAGUGACACUUGUUUGAAGUCGAUAGAGUGAAGCCCUCCGUCUUUUCUUAUUUAUUACUAUAUUAAUAAUCACAAUACUGGUAUUUUUUAUUUUAUCUUUGCUAUUAUAAAUAAGAACAGAUGCAAAAAAAACAACAACAGUAGAACAAAUAGCCUAGAAAGAAACAAAUAAUGCAUUACCUUUGUCAUUUUAUAUCUAAACUAAAGCAUUCAUGUACAAAAAAACAAAUAAGUGUGUUCAUUACAAAUAAAGUGAUUAUUAAAACUACAAAAACAGUUCAAGGAAGUGCAGCGAGUGAUUCCCUCUUUUCUUUUAGUGUUAGAUGAACAUUAAUGAUACAGACGUCCUGUACUGUAAUGCACGGAUCUGAUAUAAUGUUACACAUCAGAUGUUUUCCCCAACAGUUCCCCAAGCGUUCACUGAAGACAGAACAGAUUCUGUUUACGUGAAUACUGAAAUCCUGUAAUUCUGUAUAUGUGCAGAGGUGGGAGUAAGUCACACAUGUGCAAGUCACAACUCGAGCUGAUUCAACAACAGCAGAGACUCCAGUCCACAUCACAAAAUCAACUACAACAACACCAGCAACUUCUGGUUCAUUAUUCAGAAGUAACAUGUCUUUACCUGCAGUUUGUUAAUUCUGAAACAGUCAAUCUGCAAUGCUUUGUCAAGAACUGUUCAGUGUUUUAUAUUUUUGAUUUGAUUCCCAGUUUCACAGAUUGAGUCUGUUUAUUCUGUUGAUCGUGUCUUUCAUCUUUCCUGCAGUGAUUGUGAUUAUUGUAGAGUUUGCAGUGUUUGCUGCUCCUACUGUGAUUCUUCUUCAGAUCAUCUGUGACAGAAGAGCUGGUGAGUUUUUUUUUUUAAGCCUCACACAAUCUGCAACAAUAUUUAAAACAGCAAAAACUUAUAGAGGAUUGUCUAUUAUUUUAUUUAUUUAUGUUUUCAUCUCAGAAAACAAAGAAAAACUCUGACCACCUUGAAGAAAUGAUGAUGCCAUCCAUUUUUAUUUUUAUUUUUUUAACAAAUAACUGGCGAGCUGUAUUUUCAUUUCUGUGGAGUUAAUGGAUAUUUGCAUGCAGUGUUUACAGUCAUUUUCUUGUGUUUGGUAUAUAACCUGCUUUAAAUACAGUAUUAAAUACAGUAAUGGGCAGAUUAUUUGUAUAAUAAUCUCCAUUAUGUGUGAUGGAGCUGCUUUGGUGAAUCUUUUAUCUCAUCUGUUUGUUUUUGUUUUUUAUCAUUUAUUUUUAUUAAUUUGUUUAUAUUUUGGGUGAUAGCUAAUCAUUUCCUUAAUAAAACCUCUGCAACUGCGUUUAACA
ensembl:lncRNA